rnacentral:lncRNA from 1 species
AUGCAAUUUCAGGAUUGCUCCAGGAAAUAGCCUGUUGAGAAUUCAGUGCUAGGAGAAAGCUGUGCUUUCCAAAUGAAUCCUAUGCCUUCUAAAAAGACAUCCAUAUGAUCCACAUAUAUUUUCUUUCUUUGCCUUAGCUGCCAGGGAGCUAGCAGUUAAAUUAGGUGGCUCACAGCAAUCAUUAGCUCUUCUCUAUUUUCUCUACAAAUGUAUCUGCAAUAUUUUUUUUUCCAGAGUAAGGUCUUUCUCCCAAUGGAGAAAUCACUUGGGCCACUUCUGCAUCUAGAGUGUCAGACCCAAGCUAGGAAAAAGAAUCAUCUUUAAAAGUAUGUCAUCAGCACUCAAGACCUUUAAUGAGCCAGCGGAAUUGGUCUCCUGGUCCUCUCCUCACUCCACAGAGACUGAAAACUUUGUCAGUUCAUCCCCACGCAAUACUUAUCAAGGACUACCAUGAGUCAGAGAUUCUGCCAGCACUGGGCACAGAAGGAAGAAGGCCUUGUCUGGGACAUCAUGGUGCUUAAAGUCUAGAGAAGUCAACAGGCCAGAAGUCUCAAAUUAAGGUG